AACGCGAAGAACCUUACCUGGGUUUGACAUCUCCUGACCGCCGUAGAGAUACGGUUUCGGUAGCAAUACCGCAGGAAGACAGGUGCUGCAUGGCUGUCGUCAGCUCGUGUGGUGACAUGUUGGGUUAAGUCCCGCAACGAGCGCAACCCUUGUCCUUAGUUGCCAGCAUUCAGUUGGGCUCUCUAAGGAGACUGCCGUGGUUAACACGGAGGAAGGUGGGGAUGACGUCAAGUCCUCAUGGCCUUUAUAUCCAGGGCGACACACGUGAUACAAUGGACGGUACAGAGGGAAGCGAAAGCGCGAGCUGGAGCCAAUCUCAAAAAGCCGUUCUCAGUUCGGAUUGGAGUCUGCAACUCGACUCCAUGAAGUUGGAAUCGCUAGUAAUCGCGGAUCAGCACGCCGCGGUGAAUACGUUCCCGGGCCUUGUA
rnacentral:rRNA from 1 species